CUCCCUCCGAUCGAUCGUAGUUGUGGGUGAAAAUACUUAUAUUCCGGUAGGUCUUGUGAAGAAAUUAGCGCGAAACAAAUAUUAUGUUCCGGCAUUAAUCUAAGGAUGUAAGUAGUUCCUGGUAGAAAAUACAUCCGUUUGAAUCAUCGAGGCAUACGUAGUACUUUUUUCGAACUGGUAUCAAACUCUACUAUUCUCGCUGUCGCGUGUAGAAUUAUUUUAUAUCGGCCGAGCAGCCGCCAUCUUGUCUUACUUUAGACGAACAGAGAAAGAUAGAGAAAGACCGAAAGAUAGAGAAAGAGAGAGAGAGUGUGUGUGUGUGUGACUGAGAGAGAGCGAGAGAGAGAGAAAGAAAGAAAGUUAGAGAGAGACAGAUAGAAACGGGCCGUGGCUGUGGUAUAGUCCGUCAUAGUGACAGCUUGGUAAAAGAAGCGUUCGAUAGACGGUCGGUGUUGAUGCGGUGCGCGCGUCAAUCGCGUCGCUUAUGCUCUCUACUAACGUAGAGAGAAGAUCUAUUAUUUGUAGAAAAUAAUUCAUCGGUCCUAAAUAUCCUAAAAACGAGAUUAAAAACUUUUAUUCGGAGAGUGUCCGCUUCCUCGUCAGAUCAAAAAAGGUGGGCAUUGAACGUUAACGAAGGUAAUGGCAAUGGAGACGACGCCGAGAGAACGUGAGAUUGCUGCGGAGGAUAGUAUCAAGGUAGUAUGCAGGUUUCGACCCUUGAACGACUCCGAGGAAAAAGCUGGAUCGAAGUUUAUCGUCAAAUUCCCAUCCGGCGGUGAAGAGAAUUGUAUCUCGAUCGGGGGGAAAGUAUAUCUUUUCGAUAAAGUAUUUAAACCAAAUGCCACCCAAGAUAAAGUAUACAAUGAAGCAGCUAAAUCCAUUGUCACUGAUGUAUUGGCAGGAUAUAACGGUACCAUUUUUGCUUAUGGACAAACAUCCUCAGGAAAAACUCAUACAAUGGAAGGUGUCAUCGGAGAUCCUAAUAAACAGGGUAUCAUUCCAAGGAUCGUUAAUGAUAUUUUCAAUCAUAUUUAUAUUAUGGAAGAAAAUUUGGAAUUCCAUAUUAAAGUAUCUUAUUUUGAAAUUUAUAUGGAUAAGAUUAGAGAUCUUCUUGAUGUCUCUAAGGUAAAUUUAAGCGUGCACGAAGAUAAAAAUCGAGUACCAUUUGUAAAAGGAGCAACUGAAAGAUUUGUUUCUAGUCCAGAAGAAGUUUUUGAAGUAAUCGAAGAAGGAAAAUCUAAUCGACACAUUGCUGUAACUAACAUGAACGAGCACAGUUCUCGUUCUCAUUCAGUUUUCUUAAUUAAUGUCAAACAGGAAAAUCUUGAGAAUCAAAAAAAACUAUCUGGAAAAUUGUAUCUCGUUGAUUUAGCUGGUUCGGAAAAGGUAUCUAAAACCGGAGCGGAAGGGACUGUUCUUGAUGAAGCCAAAAAUAUUAACAAGUCUCUAUCUGCACUUGGUAAUGUCAUAUCUGCGCUUGCCGAUGGCAACAAAACGCACAUUCCUUAUCGUGAUUCCAAAUUGACAAGAAUUCUUCAAGAAUCACUUGGUGGCAAUGCUCGAACUACGAUUAUUAUUUGUUGUUCACCUGCUAGUUUUAAUGAGUCAGAAACCAAGUCGACUCUGGAUUUCGGUAAACGUGCUAAGACUAUAAAGAACGUUGUAUGUGUUAACGAAGAAUUAACUGCAGAAGAGUGGAAACGUCGUUAUGAACGCGAGAAAGAAAAAGCUGCUAGACUUAAGGGUAAAGUUGAAAAAUUAGAAGCAGAAUUGUCUCGUUGGCGCCAAGGUGAAACCGUUAAGCCCGAAGAACAAGUCAGUUUAGGAACACCUGAUGUUAUUACACCAAUUAUUGCAUCUGUUGAAGGAAAAAUUGACGAUGGUCCUCUACCAGCUACACCCGGUGGUGGACUUAUGGCAGGAUCUCUUUCGAACGAAGAAAGACAAAAACUAGAGGAAGAACGUGAAAGACUGUACCAACAGUUGGAUGACAAGGACGAAGAAAUAAAUCAACAAUCUCAAUAUGUUGAGAAAUUAAAAGAACAAAUGGAAGAGCAAGAAGAACUGAUUGCAAGCGCUAGACGGGAUUAUGAACAAUUGCAACAAGAAAUGAAUAGAAUACAGCAAGAAAAUGAAAGUGCUAAAGAGGAAGUCAAAGAAGUUUUACAAGCUUUAGAAGAAUUGGCAGUUAAUUAUGAUCAAAAAUCACAAGAGGUGGAAUUGAAAAAUAAAGAGCAAGAAACAUUGACGGAAGAGCUUCUCGCUAAACAAGCUGCUUUAAAUAAUACUUCGUCCGAAUUGCAACAAUUGCGUGAUAUGUCCGCCCAUCAAAGAAAACGUAUUGCUGACAUGCUUGCUAACUUUUUGAAAGAUUUAGGAGAAAUUGGAGUAGCCAUUGGUGGUGACGAAAAUCUUAAAGUUGCACCAGAAAAUAAUGGAAAACUGGAAGAAGAGUUCACAGUUGCGAGACUUUUUAUUAGUAAAAUGAAAUCAGAAGUCAAAAAUUUGGUUCAACGUUGCCAAGGAUUAGAAAGUUCUCAAGUGGAUUGUAACAAAAAAGUUUCCGAAUACGAAAAAGAUUUGGCAGAAUGUCGACUUUUGAUAACUCAGCAUGAAGCUCGUAUGCAAACAUUGUCAGAAUCUAUGAAAGAAGCUGAAGCACGAAAACGUGCUUUGGAAGAAGAUGUAGAUGCAUUACGCGAAGAAUGUGCAAAACUUAAGGCAGCAGAACAAGUGCAAGCUGUCACUAAUAAAGAAAAGGCAGAAGAGAAAGAGGCAGCUACAAAGAUGAAGGUAGCUUUGGAAGAACAAAUGGAUCAACUGCGUGACGUACACCAGAAGCAGGUCGCUGCGCUUAGAGAUGAAUUAUCCGAAAAACAAGACUUGAUCAGUGAAUUGAAAGAUAUGAAUCAAAAAUUUACUUUAGCACAUCAACGAAUGCAAUCAGAUUACGAACGAUUGAAACAGGAAGAAGCAAAUAAAUCUGUUAAACUUCAAGAGAUGAUACAGCUUCAUGAACGCCGAGAACAGACAAGGAAAGAUCUCAAAGGACUAGAGGAUACCGUAUGCAAGGAAUUGCAAACGCUUCACAAUUUACGUAAAUUAUUUGUUCAGGAUUUGCAAACUAGGAUAAAAAAAUCAAUUCACGUCGAAGAUAAUGAAGACGAUGGUGGCUCACUUGCUCAAAAACAAAAGAUUUCAUUUUUAGAAAAUAAUCUAGAUCAGCUUACGAAGGUCCACAAACAAUUAGUCAGAGAUAAUGCGGAUCUUCGAUGUGAGUUGCCUAAACUUGAAAAGAAAUUAAGGACAACUGUUGAACGUGUAAAAGCUUUGGAAGUAGCUUUGCGAGAUGCCAAAGAAGGUGCAAUGCGAGAUCGUAAGCGUUACCAGUACGAAGUAGAUAGGAUUAAAGAAGCUGUAAGACAGAAAAAUUUGGCUCGCCGUGGACCUAGUGCACAGAUUGCAAAGCCUAUUCGAGCUGGUCAGCAUCAUUUAAGCAACAUUAAUGCUAUUAGAACUGGCAACCGUGAUGCGCUUAAUUAAGAUACUACAUUGUGAUUGAGAAGUCGUGGGUUUGUUCGAUUUUGUACAAAAGGAGUCACUUCAGAUUGCUCUACAUUUUAGAAAAACGAUUGCAAGAACGCUUUGCGUGCUGAGGUGCUAGGAGAUCGAAACAAACUAAUCUAUUAUUAUGGUGUAUUCACAUAAAUGUCAUAUUUUAAAUGCAAUAGAUAUAUUAUAAUCUUAAAGAGCACCGCUAAUUUUUUUUUUUUUUUCGAAACAAGCAUGUGCUUUGAAGUAUACUAAUAUAUGAGUGCAUCAAUUUAUCAAUGUGCUGCAUGUCCCAUCCAUGUAUAAAUAUUUAACUCGAUUGCACUUAUAAAAAAAAAAAAAAA
rnacentral:misc_RNA from 1 species